rnacentral:rRNA from 1 species
CGUAGGUGCGAGCGUUAUCCGGAAUUAUUGGGCGUAAAGAAGCUCGUAGGCGGUUUGUCGUCGUCUGUCGUGAAAAGUCCCGGGGCUUAACCCCGGAUCUGCGGUGGGUACGGCAGACUAGAGUGCAGUAGGGGAGACUGGAAUUCCUGGUGUAAGCGGUGGAAUGCGCAAGAUAUCAGGAGGAACACCGGAUGGCCGAAGGCAGGUCUCUGGGCUGUAACUGACGCUGAGGAGCGAAAGCAUAGGGGGAGCGAACGAGGAUU